rnacentral:tRNA from 9 species
GGGGGCGUAGCUCAGUUGGGAGAGCGUCGCGUUCGCAAUGCGAAGGUCGUCGGUUCGAUCCCGUCCGCCUCCACCA